CUUGCUUCUCUUGAGAGCGGCGGACGGGUGAGUAAUGCCUAGGAAUCUGCCUGGUAGUGGGGGAUAACGUUCGGAAACGGACGCUAAUACCGCAUACGUCCUACGGGAGAAAGCAGGGGACCUUCGGGCCUUGCGCUAUCAGAUGAGCCUAGGUCGGAUUAGCUAGUUGGUGGGGUAAUGGCUCACCAAGGCGACGAUCCGUAACUGGUCUGAGAGGAUGAUCAGUCACACUGGAACUGAGACACGGUCCAGACUCCUACGGGAGGCAGCAGUGGGGAAUAUUGGACAAUGGGCGAAAGCCUGAUCCAGCCAGGCCGCGUGUGUGAAGAAGGUCUUCGGAUUGUAAAGCACUUUAAGUUGGGAGGAAGGGUUGUAGAUUAAUACUCUGCAAUUUUGACGUUACCGACAGAAUAAGCACCGGCUAACUCUGUGCCAGCAGCCGCGGUAAUACAGAGGGUGCAAGCGUUAAUCGGAAUUACUGGGCGUAAAGCGCGCGUAGGUGGUUUGUUAAGUUGGAUGUGAAAUCCCCGGGCUCAACCUGGGAACUGCAUUCAAAACUGACUGACUAGAGUAUGGUAGAGGGUGGUGGAAUUUCCUGUGUAGCGGUGAAAUGCGUAGAUAUAGGAAGGAACACCAGUGGCGAAGGCGACCACCUGGACUAAUACUGACACUGAGUGCGAAAGCGUGGGGAGCAAACAGGAUUAGAUACCCUGGUAGUCCACGCCGUAACGAUGUCAACUAGCCGUUGGAAGCCUUGAGCUUUUA
rnacentral:rRNA from 1 species